rnacentral:rRNA from 1 species
UACGUAGGGCGCAAGCGUUGUCCGGAAUUAUUGGGCGUAAAGAGCUCGUAGGCGGCUUGUCACGUCGGGUGUGAAAGCCCGGGGCUUAACCCCGGGUCUGCAUCCGAUACGGGCAGGCUAGAGUGUGGUAGGGGAGAUCGGAAUUCCUGGUGUAGCGGUGAAAUGCGCAGAUAUCAGGAGGAACACCGGUGGCGAAGGCGGAUCUCUGGGCCAUUACUGACGCUGAGGCGCGAAAGCUAGGGGAGCAAACGGG